ensembl:misc_RNA
AGGGAGUGGCCGUGAGGGACCCCAAAGCUGGGUCUGGAAAAGGGGGGUGGGUUGGGUGGUGGGGGUGCAGCCCCCAAACAAAGAAAUGGGGG